rnacentral:lncRNA from 1 species
AAGAACCAUCUGAGUAGCAACGGAAGACAGCAUCUGAUAGCUCCACCCUUACCAUGUCUACUGUGUAUAGCAUAGUAAGUGUCAGCUAACAAGGUAGGAAUUGGAUUUCCUCAAAGGAAAAUAGUGAUAACAGCAAAGUCCACAAAUUAGGCAUACUUGGAAACAACACAAUCCCAUAGAUCAUGAUAGCCAACUGAGCGUUGAACGCUUCCCAAUUUCCUUUCUUUGCUUCCUCUUUAGCCAUCCUCAC